AGAGUUUGAUCCUGGCUCAGAUUGAACGCUGGCGGCAUGCCUUACACAUGCAAGUCGAACGGCAGCACGGGCUUCGGCCUGGUGGCGAGUGGCGAACGGGUGAGUAAUACAUCGGAACAUGUCCUGUAGUGGGGGAUAGCCCGGCGAAAGCCGGAUUAAUACCGCAUACGAUCUACGGAUGAAAGCGGGGGACCUUCGGGCCUCGCGCUAUAGGGUUGGCCGAUGGCUGAUUAGCUAGUUGGUGGGGUAAAGGCCUACCAAGGCGACGAUCAGUAGCUGGUCUGAGAGGACGACCAGCCACACUGGGACUGAGACACGGCCCAGACUCCUACGGGAGGCAGCAGUGGGGAAUUUUGGACAAUGGGCGCAAGCCUGAUCCAGCAAUGCCGCGUGUGUGAAGAAGGCCUUCGGGUUGUAAAGCACUUUUGUUCGGGAAGAAAUCCCAGGCUCUACUACAGCGUGGGGAUGACGGUACCGGAAGAAUAAGCACCGGCUAACUACGUGCCAGCAGCCGCGGUAAUACGUAGGGUGCGAGCGUUAAUCGGAAUUACUGGGCGUAAAGCGUGCGCAGGCGGUUUGUUAAGACCGAUGUGAAAUCCCCGGGCUCAACCUGGGAACUGCAUUGGUGACUGGCAAGCUAGAGUAUGGCAGAGGGGGGUAGAAUUCCACGUAGCAGUGAAAUGCGUAGAGAUGUGGAGGAAUACCGAUGGCGAAGGCAGCCCCCUGGGCCAAUACUGACGCUCAUGCACGAAAGCGUGGGGAGCAAACAGGAUUAGAUACCCCAGUAGUCC
rnacentral:rRNA from 1 species